GCCGUUAUAGCCCAAUUGGCAGAGGCGCCAGUCUUAGGAACUGGUUAGUGUGGGUUCGAGUCCCUCUAACGGCACCA
rnacentral:tRNA from 1 species